CAGGCUGCAACUCGCCUGCAUGAAGCUGGAAUUGCUAGUAAUCGCGGAUCAGCAAGCCGCGGUGAAUACGUUCCCGGGCCUUGUACACACCGCCCGUCACACCAUGAGAGUCGGGAACACCCGAAGUCCGUAGUCUAACCGCAAGGGGGCGCGGCCGAAGGUGGGUCCGGUAAUUGGGGUGAAGUCGUAACAAGGUAGC
rnacentral:rRNA from 1 species